AUGGAGGGGGAGAGCCACGCCGCCGCCAACGCCUUCAACGGCGCCCCGACCCGCCGCUCGGGGCAGGACGUCAUCGUCCUGUCCUCGGCGACGGCGAGGCCGCCGCGGUCGGUGGAGGCGGUGGUGCUGGUGGACGCGGAGGGGGAGGGGCAGGGGCAGGGGCCGCGCAUGGAGAUGGAGGCGCCGCCGGAGAAGCUGUACUUCAAGACCAGGCUCUGCGACAAGUACGAGGACACCGGCCGCUGCAUGUACGAGGACGGUUGCACCUUCGCGCACGGCCGCGCCGAGCUUCGCCCGCCGGUCCCCCCUGUCGGCGGCUUCGCCGUCGCCGGCGGCGGCAAGGUGUGCUUCAACUUCAGGGACACGGGCACCUGCCAUUUCGGGGACAGGUGCGCCUUCCCCCACGCUGCACCAUCAGGUCACGCGAUUCGCCUCACCGGGGACCAGAAGGUGCUAACAUCCCCAGGGCCGCGCUACGCCGCCACCGCCAGGGCGUACCCGUACCCGCCGCUGCUUCCCCCGGCCGCGCAUGAUCGUCUUGCCCAGAUGACCGAGGAGAACGGGGGCAAAAAGCCCAACAGGCUGAUGCUCAUGAGCCAACGGAAGAUCAGCGGGAUCUACGGCGACUGGCCGGAGCAGAAGGAGCAGGAGAAGGGGCUGGAUCCUCCAGAGCUGACGGGGAAGAAGAGGCAUGGGAUCUGGAUCAGGAGCCGUGCUGGUGCUUGUGGCAGCAUGUCUAGCGAUUGCCCCGCCCUGCGCUCUGGCUUCUUCUCGCAAGCACAUAGUAAGAUAGGGUCAUCUUUACUUGUUAAUGAUGGUGCUACAAAUAUUUCCCAGAACAAUAUUGAUGCAGGCCUCCUACUUCGCCUGGCUGAUAGCAAUCUGAAGGAUACUCAAGCCAAGGAAGGGACACCUUCCGAUUGUGCUGGUUACGCAGUGAAACCUGUCAAAGGCAACGCGAUUCUGCUGUUCAAUUCAAGGCCUGACGGAAUCGCCGACAAGGACAGCCAGUAUGAGGCCUGUUCUGUCCUUGAAGGGGAGAAAUGGCUCGCCAUAAAACAUAUGCAUGCCAGCAAGAUUGAUAAAUCAGAACCUUCUCCGGUAUCCGAGGAUGAUGGUUGCACCGAUGAAGAUGGUAACUGUGUCAAUUGGGCUGCUGCCGGUGAAUGCGACAAGAAUCCAGUGUUUAUGAUUGGAAGUCCAGACUACUAUGGCACUUGCAGGAAGACCUGCCAUGCGUGCUAG
rnacentral:rRNA from 1 species